GAUGAACGCUAGCGGCGGGCCUAAUACAUGCAAGUCGAACGGGAUUGGAGUAGCAAUAUUCCAUGAUAGUGGCGACCGGGUGCGUAACACGUAUGCAACCUACCUUAUACUGGGGUAUAGCCUCUUGAAAGAGAGAUUAAUCCCCCAUAACACUGCGAAAUGGCAUCAUUUUGCAUUUAAAGCUCCGGCGGUAUAAGAUGGGCAUGCGUCCUAUUAGCUAGUUGGUGAGGUAAUGGCUCACCAAGGCAACGAUAGGUAGGGGUCUGAGAGGAUGAUCCCCANACUGGUACUGAAACACGGACCAGACUCCUACGGGAGGCAGCAGUAGGGAAUAUUGGUCAAUGGACGCAAGUCUGAACCAGCCACGCCGCGUGAAGGAUGAAGGCCCUA
rnacentral:rRNA from 1 species